UACGUAGGGUGCAAGCGUUGUCCGGAAUUAUUGGGCGUAAAGAGCUCGUAGGCGGUCUGUUACGUCGGCUGUAAAAACCUGGGGCUCAACCCCGGGCCUGCAGCCGAUACGGGCAGACUAGAAUUCGGUAGGGGAGACUGGAAUUCCUGGUGUAGCGGUGAAAUGCGCAGAUAUCAGGAGGAACACCGGUGGCGAAGGCGGGUCUCUGGGCCGAUAUUGACGCUGAGGAGCGAAAGCGUGGGGAGCGAACAGG
rnacentral:rRNA from 1 species